rnacentral:rRNA from 1 species
UAUCAAUAAGCGGAGGAAAAGAAACCAACAGGGAUUGCCCUAGUAACGGCGAGUGAAGCGGCAACAGCUCAAAUUUGAAAUCUGGCGCAAGCCCGAGUUGUAAUUUGUAGAGGAUGCUUCUGGGCAGCGGCCGGUCUAAGUUCCUUGGAACAGGACGUCACAGAGGGUGAGAAUCCCGUAUGUGACCGGCGCGCACCCUCCACGUAGCUCCUUCGACGAGUCGAGUUGUUUGGGAAUGCAGCUCUAAAUGGGAGGUAAAUUUCUUCUAAAGCUAAAUACCGGCCAGAGACCGAUAGCGCACAAGUAGAGUGAUCGAAAGAUGAAAAGCACUUUGGAAAGAGAGUUAAAAAGCACGUGAAAUUGUUGAAAGGGAAGCGCUUGCAACCAGACUCCGCGGCGGUGUUCCGCCGGUCUUCUGACCGGUCCACUCGCCGCCGCGGGGCCAACAUCGUCUGGGGCCGCCGGACAAGACUGGAGGAAUGUAGCUCCCUCGGGAGUGUUAUAGCCUUCAGUGAUGCGGCGCGUCCCGGGCGAGGUCCGCGCUUCGGCAAGGAUGUUGGCGUAAUGGUUGCCAGCGGCCCGUCUUGAAACACGG